UGGGGAAUCUUGCGCAAUGGGCGAAAGCCUGACGCAGCCAUGCCGCGUGAAUGAUGAAGGUCUUAGGAUUGUAAAAUUCUUUCACCGGGGACGAUAAUGACGGUACCCGGAGAAGAAGCCCCGGCUAACUUCGUGCCAGCAGCCGCGGUAAUACGAAGGGGGCUAGCGUUGCUCGGAAUUACUGGGCGUAAAGGGAGCGUAGGCGGACAUUUAAGUCAGGGGUGAAAUCCCGGGGCUCAACCUCGGAAUUGCCUUUGAUACUGGGUGUCUUGAGUGUGAGAGAGGUAUGUGGAACUCCGAGUGUAGAGGUGAAAUUCGUAGAUAUUCGGAAGAACACCAGUGGCGAAGGCGACAUACUGGCUCAUUACUGACGCUGAGGCUCGAAAGCGUGGGGAGCAAACAGGAUUAGAUACCCUGGUAGUCCACGCCGUAAACGAUGAUUGCUAGUUGUCGGGAUGCAUGCAUUUUGGUGACGCAGCUAACGCAUUAAGCAAUCCGCCUGGGGAGUACGGUCGCAAGAUUA
rnacentral:rRNA from 1 species